rnacentral:sRNA from 1 species
AUGUACCACUCGUACUCCAUUUCCCCAGCGCCGCCCGCACCUACCUGGCGACUGCUCAUUACGUUUUGUCAGCC